GGUACCCUACGGGGGGCAGCAGUAGGGAAUCUUCCACAAUGGGCGCGAGCCUGAUGGAGCAACACCGCGUGAGUGAAGAAGGGUUUCGGCUCGUAAAGCUCUGUUGUUGGAGAAGAACGUGCGUGAGAGUAACUGUUCACGCAGUGACGGUAUCCCACCAGAAAGUCACGGCUAACUACGUGCCAGCAGCCGCGGUAAUACGUAGGUGGCAAGCGUUAUCCGGACUUAUUGGGCGUAAAGCGAG
rnacentral:rRNA from 1 species